CCUGCUCCCGGCGUCGCUCGGGAAGAUGGCGCUGCGUGUCCAGGUCUAUGCCCAAAUGUCAGAAGCCUUGGGAAUAAUAGGUGACAACCAUUUAUGGAAGCAUUUAUGACAAAAAUAUUCACAAAGGAGGCCUCAUAUUGAAGGAGACAAGAGGGGUUAGCAUCAUCUGCCUUCACAUCUCCGGUAUUUGGCAGAAUAAGAUGUGUUACGAAAAUUAAAUACUGGGGAAGAUGUGAGCCCAUGAACUCUUCAGUUUCCAAAUGACCUUUCUGUUGGAUAUCCUUUUUAUUGGAUAUGGCACAACAUGUUAUUUGAAAAUAAUAAGUUUUUAAAAGGUGUGCUUAUUUCUACCUACUUUUACCAACAAAAGACAAAUCAUAUAACUAGUUGCUUAUGGUCAUCUGUCCCAGUCCUAAUCUUCUUGAAGUCAAUACCGUUGGUGAGUUCAACAAUAUUGAGAACGGGACUGAUUCUGUUGGCAGCUGAGAAGAGGAUUGGUUCUACUUGAGGAUGAGUCAACUAAGGAUUUUUUUCUCACUAAAAGUUCCUGAAAGUUUUCCCAGCCUGCCUGUGUAAUUAUAAUGCUGCAAGGCUGCUUUUCCUUAACACCUGCUACGUACAGUCUCCUGAAAAAGCUUGUGAAAAUAGACAGUGAAAUCUAUGCUUCAGAAUCACACAAGGAAGCACUUCCCUUUCCUGGAUGUCAGUGAGGAUUUGAGCCUCAGUGACCCGAGGUGCUGGACAGUGUUCCACACUGGCUCACUCAGCUUCUCCUGGACUUAGGUCACCUGAAGUUCCUGGGAUGUCAGUGAGAUUUCUCUGUGGAAGCCUCGGAGCCUGACCCUUCUGAAGAAGUGUGAAGAUGAUGUGUGUGAUGCUUUUGCUGGUUUCUUUUGGUUUCUUUUCCUGUAGGUGAAGAUGGGUAUGAGUUUGAGAACUUCAUGCUCCCCCUCUAAGUUUCAUUUGAAAGUGUGACUCAGAUACUCAACAGUAGUGUUGAACAAAAAAAAGCAAAAGGUAGGGUUUUUUCAAGUAUAGGGGAAGAAAUUAUUGAUGGGAAAAAAUAAUAGUGAGGCAAGGAUUCAGCAACAAGUCUGGCAGCUUUUCUGUUAGUCUCCCUUGACUGUACAUACCUGUAUACUUAUAUACAUAUGGACUUAUAUACAUAUAUACCUGUGUACAUGUAUCUAAUUAGGAAGGUAGACAGUAGAGAUACAAGGGCUAUGAAUACUAUUCUAAAUAAACUUUGUACAAAGAUUUUAUAAGGACCUUGAGAUUUUCCAGUGCUUUGCAGAUCAAAUGACCCCAUUUGAAGCUCAUUUAUUAACAAAGGGACAAAUUUUUCUUCAGUGAUAGCUUAUCUGUUCCAUAUCUAAUAUUCCCCUUUGCCACGCAAGUAUCCUGUUUGUGUAUAUUAACAUAUUUAUUUGGGGGUAUGAGAAGACAUGUAACACAAUUGAUAAAACACUACUGCUUUAAAGUAUUUUUUUUUUCAAACAAGAAUUUAUUAUAUAAAUCAAGACUUUAUUAAAUGGCUGGGCAUAUAUGUAUAAAUAGGAACGGGCCUUGAAGUAUGGCACCCUUAAACUGAACAAAGUGAUUAGGAUAACUGAUAGCUAAAUAAGGUUUUUAUGUGCCUGUGGGAGCCAUAUUAGGAUUGAUUUGACAAGGCAGUUCAGCUGUGGCAACAGUCAUAACAUCUAACACAACAUUAUGUUUUAUUAGUAAAAUCCUUAAGUGUAGCAAGCUGUUUGUGUCAAAACAACAGUAUAUUUUAGGGAAGAAAAAGACUUACUAGAUAGAAGCUGCAUCAUCAGGAAUGAUAAUGUAUUAGAGCACUAUUGCAUUAAAGAGAUCCCCUUCUGCCACCACUGAAUCAGUAGUUAACAGUGCUCACUGGAGUGCUCACUUCAGCUGCACGGGGUCGUCUUGAGGAAACCCUAACAAUAAUUUUUAAUUUGCUGUUUUAAAAUAUAAUGGCAGCUUAAAUACUGCAUCAUCAAAUUUAUCCAUUUUUUUCACAAGAAAAUAAACAGAUAUGCUCAAAGUAUUUGGCAAAUCAUUUGGCUGCGGUACAUCACUGACAUUACUCAAAGAUGCACAUUUCACAGUCAUCACUUGAAUUAAGCUAAUAUUUUUCUUAAAAUAGUACUAAGGGUUAUUUCAAUAAUUAUUUACUUUUGGUUUCCUUCUUUGUUGUUGCUUUAUGUGUUCAAUAGUAAUCACUUUUUAUUUAUAAAAUAGACUCAGUUCGUCUAUCUUCAAUCCAUCUCUCAUGUGUUCAAGUUAUAAAUCCUAAAAAUUAGAACAAAGAGGUCAUUUGGUAGCAUUACCCUUUCUGGAGGAAACUGGAUUCCUCUCUGUGUGAGGAUUCAAUUUAUUAAAAUAAUUUUACCAUUGCCCUGUCUGGAUUGCUUGAAACUUUCUUAGUAGAGAAAUUUUAAUGGAGUGCCAGUGAUAUAUUCCUAAACUAGCAAGUUCUUAACGACCCUGGAAAGUGACUGCUUGAUUACACUUUAACGGUAUUUGCAAAUAAAAUCACAAGUAAUUAAGGGGAAAUCUCCAGGCUUUUGAGCAAGUUUGAUGCAUGAUAACUGCCUGAUUCAGCUUCAUCUAGAGUAAUGCUGUGUAGACAAGAGCUACUGAGAUCAAUAGCAACAUAAUGAUAGUGGCAGAAUUAAGUGAGUAACCUGAGAACUGUGUCUUCAAAAUGCAUGCAGCUGCCACCAGCCAGGGCCACACAGUGCACUCCUGCUUCCGUCCUAAAUGUUCAUCAAAAGACGCCCUGCAGGAAAAUGGAGUUAGAUGCUCUUUAUUGCUGAUCGUGUCUCUUGCCACAUUUAUCAGGGAAAUUGGAUUAGCAGUUGGCAGCUGCAGGUAGACAAGGUUCUGCAGUGAUUAAAUAUGCAGCUUGGCUGCAUUUGUUGUGACAGACCUUUAGUAAAUUCUACUGUAAGCACCAUCUGUCUAAUUUGUAUAAAGAAAACUUGGUGCUUUAAGCUACUGAUAAAGAACUAAAUCUGUUGCUUUAUCAUAAACAAAACUUUUGCUCUAAAUUACCUUAAACACAAUUUAUUAGGUUAAAGCUAUUUUUCUAUCAUAAUGAAUAAAUAAUACAUGCAAAAGUGCUUUCAGGUACUUCAUUUUCCACGUACUGAAAAACAAAAACAGUUCAGUUCUUCAAUAAAAUGCUUAGUAUUACAAUCCAUGGGGAGAUGACACUGUUAAAAUAUCACUAUGAAAAUGGUCCAGGACUGCCAAACUCGUUUAAUUUGUGGGUUUUACUAGGACUUUCUAACUGGGUAGGUGAUUUUUUAGCUUUUUAAUAUUUCUGAAAUACACCACUGAAAAACAACUGUAACAAGGGAACUCUUUCUUUUUAAAAUAUAUCUGUAAUCAUUACAUCUGCAUACAAAGCAUAUGUUUAGGUUUCUUUUCCAGAGAGAUCAAAUGUGAUUGAGGAUGGCUGAAGUAAUUAUGUGUGUAUGUGUGUUGCUUUCCUCUUUUCUUAUUCCUUUUUUUUUUUUACUACUUCCUUCUUCUCAUUUUUGUAUUAAUAGAAAGAAUUUCCAGUAGUAAAACAAUGCCUAAUUUUCUCCUAAGAAUAUCCAGGUUUCUCUUGACAAUGUGGUUAAGCAAUCUAUUGCCUGGGCAGCUGGAAUCUCAGUAGUACUUUGUUUAUAGUUGUGACAUCAUCACAUUUGCUAGAAAUGCCUGGGAAAAGGAUCUGAAGAAAAAGCAGUUAAAUAGCAACUUGCUAUCUUUAGCUGGUUUGUAGAAACUCCAUGCUGUUAAAUUAUUUAAAAUCCUUGAUUUUCAGCUUGCACACAUUAAAAGUUUUCACACUAAGUGCCAAAUGUUGCAAACAGCACUUUAACAGAAUGAUUUUGCUUUGAUCCCUGUAGCAGUUCCUGAAUAAUUUAUCACAGGUUAUUGCCUUAAUUCUGGAGAGGGAUAGAGCAAUAAAGGCAGAUGAAAACACUCCAGUUGAAACACCUUGGGGCCUGCUCAUUCCUCUGACACGGCUCUUUUGUUGGAACUAUUUAGAGGUUAUUAAGAUGUGUCUCCAGAAUUAAGAGUAUGCUGUAAGGAUGAAGACAGCCAUCUUAAUUCUAAAGACAAAGCACAAUGACCCUUCACCUUUUUUUUCCUUUGUUGUUAUUAUAUAGUAGAAUUAUGAGGGUAAUAUUAUAGCUGCACCCAGUAGUGCCACUAUGGUUAAGGGUCUGUCAGACUUUCCAUUACGAGCCCCAUUUUGGGGGUGGGGGGCGUGAGGAGGCUCCUCUGUUUUAGAUUGUGUUAGUCAGAUGCUUGGCACAUGUUGGCAAAUUAUAGGGGAUUUUCUGUAGAUACUUAAAUCUUCAGCUCCUUUCCUUUGAAAAAAUCCAUUGAAAAAUGUUAUUCUGGACUUUGAAACAAAAUACUUGAAUUUAUUUUUAAAAGGGCUUUGUUGUAAUUAAAUCUUAAGUAAACCUAUCACUGACAUUCAGGGAAGGAUAUUUCAAAAAUUAAAUCUGAACAAAAUUCCUUCAUUAUCAAGAAAAGCAGUGUAUAAACCCCCAUGCUCCUGACAAGCUUCUCUUGCUGUUUUUCUUGUAUUUACUGUUCUUCACUUCUCAUCUCACUCAUUUGGCUGUUGCUGGUUGUGCCAUUCCCUGUCCCGUUGCCCCAGGAAGGGCUGGGGGGCAGCUGGGAAGGACACAGUAGCUUCUUGUAUUCUUCACUUUGCUGGUGAGUCUGCAAGGCACUCCAGAUGCCACAGGAUGACACACAAAAAGUAGAUGUAUAAGUGUAUAAUGUUGUUUGUCAUUAAUAAAUUUUAUGCACGUAAGUGCUAUUUGAUUAUUCUUAAUGGACUAAAACUAGAUUGUCUUAGGGUUUUAGGGGGAAGGUUCUUGCUAACUGUGACCUAAGCAAGCAUGGAAUCUAGGGUGAUUUUUGCUUCUAUUAGAGUUUAAGGAUAUUUUUACCAGUGACUUAAAUGGAUCAGGACUUAUUCAGGAUUCUAGAGGCUAUUCAGUAGGCUAUUUGUCUGGCACCGACUGUGGCAGUGUUAUUUUACACAGUUGAGGUCUGAUGGAUCCCAUCUAAACCACUGGUUUGCUGGGGUUUUACAGGACAAGAAUAUUAUGGUGCCUUGUAAAUUGAGGUAAUUUAUUAAGAAUAGUGUGGGUUAAGAAUGGUACGGGCUUUUUAAUAACACCGUCUGAAUUUAAGUAGUAGAAAAACCAAGAAAUGUAGUUGAUAUAGUAGCUGGUCUCCUUUCUUUAGAGUUUGAGGUCCAAUGGUGUCUGAAGUUGCCUGGUGUUUUUGUAGCUUCUCAGAAAUCUGGUUUAAAGAAAGUUGCACAUCUACUUUUAUUAUUAGUUUUUAAAGUCUCACAACCAAACUGUUUCUUUUUCACUCUUAUUUGCAAAAGAGUGUUUUCUUGCAACUAGUUUUUUUUAUGAAGAUAGAAUAAGCGUGUUGGAGGAAUAUGGAUUAGGGUGGUUGUCCUUUUCUAAUCCACAUUCUAAGCCACACUAGGAUGGGGAGCUCUUUCUCCCUGAGCACAUGCUCAAGCAAAGGCAAGUUCAUGUCUUGCCAGGGGCCGUAGCUCCCCUUCUCCCAGCUCCAGACCUCCUCUGUCCAACCUUGCUUAUCUCCUUUUUUGUGGCUGGAGUGAGCAAAGGAACCAAAAUCAGUCUGGAAUAUUUCCACUCCCUUGUAUCUGUUGCUGCAUCUCUGCCAUGAGAGAGAAGUAUCAAGUGUUGCUUCUGAGUUCUUUUAAUUCUUUAUGUUUUGGCCACCUUGUCUGCUAAAGUUAUUUUCUGUGUGGACAAAGCAGCACACCCACCAAGUAUGAAAAUACAGAUGAGUAUGAAGUUACAAUUUUAUAUUGCAUCUUCUCAGUAUUGAACACUUCCUCUCUAGUGAUUUCAGAGUCCCAUUAAAGUUAAUGAGAGUUGAGACCUCUGAGCAUCUUUGCAAGUUCAGGCCAUUUCAAUGCACAACAGAAACGAAAUGCAAAUAUUAAAAUACUCCCAGCUAUCUCACUAGUGUUUGCUAGAGAACUCAGUUUGUCCUGGGAUAAAUCUAUAUGUGUGCCACCCAAUUCAGCUGGACUGAAUAUGUGAAUCUUACCUUCUGUAUUUCUCAACACUAUAAAUAUUACAGUGUUAGCACCACAUGGGAGUACAUUAUUGAAAACUCUGGGUUUAAAGAGAGAACUCCUUACUGGUUUUUUUGCCAUGGUUCUAUGAUUAUUUUUUUCCAGACUGCAGAACUGUGUCCUUUUAUUGUGAAAAGAAGUACAAACCCCACCUGCAACACAUGGAUAAAAUUCAUUAAAACUGAUGAGUUGUCAAAAAGAAUAUUUAGGUCUGAGUAAAUUGAAAAGUUUGUUUAUGUUGUUAAAAUAUUUUUCAUUCACUAGUGUUUCUUAUUGAUGUCUAUUAAUCAUCCUGAAAACGUCCUGUUAGUAGGGGCUAAUUGUCUAUGCAUACAGUGUUGACUGCAUUUGAGCUGGAAGGACUCUGAAGCCACACUUCAGUCAUUAAAAGGGAAAAAAAUGCUUCUCAGAACUAAUGUUAACACAGAUAGAUUUGCAUAGUCUUCUCUAAACAAAGUGGUUUUUUGAAGAAACCUAACUUGGAAAAUUACUUUAAAAAAACCGAACAGAACAACAAAAGGUAAGUUAAAAUAACAGUACAAUGGGAGUCCUAGUGCAGCCUUAAUUGUAGCUUGUUUUGAGUAUCAGUUAGUCUUACACCUCAUUCAAAAUAUUACAAGCUUAAAUUAACAUUUUAUUGUUAUUAUUACUUUAAAUAUAUUAAUACAGGAAGCACUUUUAAACAUUAAUACAUUGUAUUCAUAUAUUAUAUUUUCAUAUGCGUUAUUCAUUAUGAAAGCAUAUCCAAUAAUCCAAAGCAUUUCCUAAGCAUUUUGCCAGUGUUAGCACUGGAAAACUUGUAUAAAUCGUUUGUCCAAGGAUCUUUGUGGUUUUUUUCUAAGAAAAAAAAAAAAGGUUUGAGCGAGACAUUUAAACUAAUGAAUCAAAAUCAGCUCUGUGGUCAUCAUUGGCUGAUUAUUACCCCAUCUGCUGCGUGCUAACGUGAAAAUCAAUUACCGUGUCUCUCCCCACUGGCAGCGUAUGCUGGCGGGCCCGCGGGCUCGCCCUGGCUGAGCACAAAGAGCAGCUCCUCCCCUGCUCCCGGGACGUGUCCUUUGUGCCCGCACAAUGCCCGCUCUGUGCACGCAGGGAUGCCAGGCCCCUCGCAUUAGUUUAAUAGUGUGGCACAGUGGGGAAGAGGAAACAAAGCUAAAUGAACUAAUGUGUAAUCAGCUAAAAUUACAGCACAACGGACACCGUGCAGUUAACUGGGAAGGACCACGCAGAGGUCACUUUUCUGUUGUGUUACACUGCUAAUCUAGCAAAUGUAUCCAAGGAGGUUUCUUUCCUUCAUAAUUCCCUAAUGUUUUCAUAAAAAGAAAAAAAAAGCCAUGUCUUUAAUUCCAAACACAAUGUACCUACAUUUGGUUUAACAUCAGAAGUGCUUAAAAAAUACUAUACAAGUGCUAUCUGGGGAGAUUUCUUUCUCUGGUAUGAAUCAUGUCUUUAAUUUAGUCAGUUACUUUCUAUUUAUGUCAGCUCUAUUAAUAUCACAACACUUGCAGUCAUCUUAAUCCAGAAGAAAACAGACAUCUGAAAACAAAACCAAAAUCUUUACAUUGUAGUUUUCUUCAAUAGGUAAUGAUAAUGAACUCCGUUUGCUUUAAAUAUUGUAUACAUUUUUAAGCUGACACAUAUAACAAUACUCCUGGGUAUUUUCUUAACACUACAGAGAAAUGUUUUGUAUUUUUAAGAAAACGGUGGCUGUAGUUCUCUGUCAGGCACACAGUCAUAUUGGUAAUAAACUGCUGAAGUACACAUUGUGAAAAUUUUUGUUUUAUAAUUUAGAUCUCACAAAACUAUAAAAAUUAAUUAUGUGUUUGUUUUAUGGACAGAAAAAAUAACAUUCAAGAACAAUUAGUUUUAGUUUUAGUUUUAGUCCAUUAAGAAUAAUCAAAUAGCACUUAUGUGCAUAAAAUUUAUUAAUGACAAGCAAUUGCAUACUUUACAAGAAAUCAAGCUUUUAAAAAUCUUUUUGUUUUAAGUCAAUUAUGAAGCUCUACUGUUCACUAAUAAUCUUCCUGAUUAAGAAAGAGAAAUGCAAUUGCAACUAGGAAAUUGCGCUUUCAGGACUGAAAGGCUGAACAGCAAAGCCAUCCUCGGGUGGUGGGGAGUAGGAUCCUGAUGACCAUUCAGAAAAGCCCUAUUAAAGACCUUCACAAGCCUUCGGUGAUUCUAUCUGUGUGCAGGCUCAGCUUGCAGAAAGUAAGUCCAAAACAGAAAGCAGUGUAAUCUUUAUUUCUCCUAAAAUCCGUGGAAAGCAUCCCUUAUUUUCAGCUUUAGAGGACUAAAGGGAAAAAAACCCCCCCACCACCAAACCACUCAAGUCCUGAAGCCAGGCUGUGAAUUAGCAUCUCAUUUUCUAGUGGGCACCACUGGGUACAUUUAACUUUGUUAGUACUGUUCGUGCUUGUGUUACCCUAAAACUUAAUAAAACAGGAAGAUGUGCAAAAGGAGAUCAGUGCUGCUUCCAUUUCAAAUUGGUUUUACUUUGUUUUUCCUAGUACAACACGAGUGUUGUUUUCCUGUGCAGAACUGCAGAUCUCCAGCUGUGGGAGGAGCAGCAGAGACUUACCUCCUCUCCAUUUGAAAAAAAUAGAUGCAUCCACGGAGGUGGCUUUUUAGAGAAGGGUGCAGGAUAUAUAAUCCUCCGGACCCUCUCCUGAUUUCUUUUUAUUUAUUCCUUCAAUUUUAUGAAUUAAGUUUACUUCAAAUAAAGAAAAACAGCCUCCAACUUUUGGAUUUCAUUAUUAUAUAUUUGCAAUAAAGAUAGAUUGAAAUGUAGCUUUGUGUGGAAUUCAAAGCUCAGGCCUUCUCAGUUCCUUUUCCCUUGUACAGAUUCAAAAUCUUUUCUUCCUCACUUUUGGCUGUAAAGGAUAAGUGCAUGUUUCUGAUCAGUGGAUUUCUCCUCAUUUGGAUGAGUCCAGCUGCAUCCAGGUAUUGAUCCCAAGCAUUACAGCAGAAUGAGCUGCUAUAAUCACAACUCUUAUUUACUGUAGAUAAAGACAGAAAGGUAAACGGGAGGGGAAGGGAGGAUCAGGUGCCAGUUCUAUCAUAUCUAGUUUAAAUACCCUUUGAUUAACACAUUUCUUUUUUAGUUUCAAAUAUAUAAUCAGAAAAUGGUUUUAAUAGCAAAGAAAAGCUGUUUUACAAAGAUGUUUUAUUCUAUUAUGUUUGGGGCCCUAGUAUUUCAAUAUUGAAAAUGGCAAAUACAGAAUAUUAGCGAAAAUAAAUCCAUUUAGUUAUAUUUGUUAAAUAAAUAAAUAAUACUAAGAGGCAAGGGAUAAAAAGUCAAGCUUUUAAUAUAAGAUGAUGUUUAUUCUGUAUUGAAUACUGUCAGAAAUAGUCACUUGUAAAUCAUUGGUAGAAGAAUGUCUUGAUAAACUUUUCAAGUGAUUGCAGGAAAUAUUUUGGGUUUUAGGCCUGUCCAUAACAAAACAAAUUACACUGGGUAAUCUCUCACCUGAUCGCAGCACUUAGGAUUUAAGCUUUGUCCAGUAGAUGGCAAAAAUGAGCAGAAAUAAUUUCUUUGAUGUCCUUUUGGUCCAGGGCAGGGAGAGGGGAGGCACGGGGGACACUGCUGUAUCUUGUAUUUUACCAUUAUGAUUGAGUUAUGGCUCGUGGUUUAGAGGUGUGUUGUCAGGUAUGCUGGAGCUGUGCUGCAUUGCCAAGUGGGGCUGGUUUGUAGCAGCCUUGCUUAUACUAAUUGAGUUUCUCCAGCAAAUCAGGCUCCUUGGAAAAAGGCCAAAGGCUUUUCAUAAUUGUAUUGACAAGAAAAUGAAUAUGAUAAAUGGUGUUCAUUCAGCUGAGACAAGAUUUAUAGUUUUCCUCUGGCAAGGGAUGAAGAGAAAAUAUUUAUAAUAAUAGUAAAAUUUGUUUUAAAGUUGUAUUAGGUGAUAUCUCAAAAGACUUCAUUAAAAUAUUUCCAAAUACUUUAA